rnacentral:rRNA from 1 species
UACGAAGGAUCCAAGCGUUGUCCGGAUUUACUGGGUUUAAAGGGUGCGUAGGCGGGGAAUUAAGCCAGUGGUGAAAGCUGGUAGCUCAACUAUCAAAUUGCCAUUGAAACUGAUUUUCUCGAGUACGGUUGAGGUAGCUGGAAUGUAACAUGUAGCGGUGAAAUGCUUAGAUAUGUUACAGAACACCAAUUGCGAAGGCAGGCUACUAAACCGUAACUGACGCUGAGGCACGAAAGCGUGGGGAUCAAACAGG